rnacentral:rRNA from 1 species
AUAGAUACCCUGGUAGUCCUAGCCGUAAACGAUGAACACUAGGCGUAGUCGGUAUCGACCCCGGCUGUGCCGUAGCUAACGCAUUAAGUGUUCCGCCUGGGGAGUACGGCCGCAAGGCUAAAACUCAAAGGAAUUGACGGGGGCCCGCACAAGCAGCGGAGCGUGUGGUUUAAUUCGUCGCAACGCGAAGAACCUUACCAGGGCUUGACAUGUGGCGGAAAACGGCGGAAACGUCGUCCUCCCGCAAGGGACCGUCAUGCAGGUGUUGCAUGGCUGUCGUCAACUCGUGUCGUGAGAUAUUGGGUUAAGUCCCGCAACGAGCGCAACCCCCGUGGCAUGUUGUAUCUCUCAUGCCAGACUGCCGAGAGAAACUCGGAGGAAGGUGGGGAUGACGCCAAGUCAGCAUGGCCCUUACGUCCUGGGCUACACACACGCUACAAUGGCCGGUACGACGGGUUGCCAAACCGCGAGGUGGAGCUAAUCCCUUAAAGCCGGUCUCAGUUCGGAUUGCAGGCUGCAACUCGCCUGCAUGAAGCCGG